GAAAUGCGAUAAGUAGUGUGAAUUGCAGAAUUCAGUGAAUCAUCGAAUCUUUGAACGCACAUUGCGCCCCUCGGCAUUCCGUGGGGCAUGCCUGUUCGAGCGUCAUCUACACCCUCAAGCUCUGCUUGGUGUUGGGCGUCUGUCCCGCCUCCGCGCGCGGACUCGCCCCAAAUGCAUUGGCAGCGGUUCCUUGCCCCCCUCUUUGCGCAGCACAUUGCCAUUCGAGGCGGCGGCGGCCCGCGUCGAACAAGCUCAACCCCCCCGUCUUUGACCUCGGAUCAGGUAGGGAUACCCGCUGAACUUAAGC
rnacentral:misc_RNA from 1 species